AGGGUCAGCUCUGAUGGGGCUGAGAGUAGUCUCAUGAGAUCCAGGCCAGAAGGGGCUCAGUGAAGGUGGAUGGGCCAGAGAGGUGGACAAGGGUCUCCAUAUGGAGUCUGCCAUCUUAAGGCAGGAAGGACAUGUGAAUUUCAAGGGUGCAGGAAAGGCAGGAGAUAACCUGCAGCUUGGAGGGGUAGAUGGAGCAAUGUGGGUAAGGCAGGCAGUGGGGUCCUCCUGAGACAGGUCAGGGUAGGCCAGGAUGAGGGCACACCUACAGGACAGGCCUAGAGCAGGAGUCUCCAUCACCCUGUGGCUGUUCACAGCUUUUCCUGACAUAAGACUCAGGUCUGGAGAGGUCAGGAGGGCCUUGACUAAGUAAGAGAGGGAGGGAUGGGAAAGGGUGACACAGAGAGACUGAGAGACACAUCACACAUGUGCAUAUAUGUGCAUAUACACACACAGAUGCAUAUACACAGACACACACACACAAACACACAUACAUACACACAUAUACACACAUGCACACACAGGCACACACAAACAUAUACACACACAGACACACACACAAACACACACACAGACAUACACACAGAAACACAGACACAGACACACAAACAGACACAUACAUAGACAUACACACACAAACAUACAUACAUACACAGAUGCACACACACGCAGACACACAUACAGACACUCAUACACACACAACACACA
rnacentral:lncRNA from 1 species